AUUGAACGCUGGCGGCAUGCCUUACACAUGCAAGUCGAACGGCAGCACGGGAGCAAUCCUGGUGGCGAGUGGCGAACGGGUGAGUAAUGCAUCGGAACGUGCCCAGUAGUGGGGGAUAGCCCGGCGAAAGCCGGAUUAAUACCGCAUACGACCUACGGGUGAAAGCGGGGGACCGUAAGGCCUCGCGCUAUUGGAGCUGCCGAUGUCAGAUUAGGUAGUUGGUGGGGUAAAGGCCUACCAAGCCGACGAUCUGUAGCUGGUCUGAGAGGGCUACCAGCCACACUGGGACUGAGACACGGCCCAGACUCCUACGGGAGGCAGCAGUGGGGAAUUUUGGACAAUGGGCGCAAGCCUGAUCCAGCCAUGCCGCGUGCGGGAAGAAGGCCUUCGGGUUGUAAACCGCUUUUGUCAGGGAAGAAACGCCUCGAGAUAAUACCUUGGGGUAAUGACGGUACCUGAAGAAUAAGCACCGGCUAACUACGUGCCAGCCGCCGCAGUAAAAC
rnacentral:rRNA from 1 species